GAUCCUGGCUCAGGAUGAACGCUAGCUACAGGCUUAACACAUGCAAGUCGAGGGGCAGCAUCAUCAAAGCUUGCUUUGAUGGAUGGCGACCGGCGCACGGGUGAGUAACACGUAUCCAACCUGCCGACAACACUGGGAUAGCCUUUCGAAAGAAAGAUUAAUACCGGAUGGCAUAGUUUUCCCGCAUGGGAUGACUAUUAAAGAAUUUCGGUUGUCGAUGGGGAGUGCGUUCCAUUAGG
rnacentral:rRNA from 1 species